UACGGGGGGGGUAAGCGUUGUUCGGAAUUACUGGGCGUAAAGGGCUCGUAGGCGGCCAACUAAGUCAUACGUGAAAUCCCUCGGCUUAACCGGGGAACUGCGUCUGAUACUGGAUGGCUUGAGUUCGGGAGAGGGAUGCGGAAUUCCAGGUGUAGCGGUGAAAUGCGUAGAUAUCUGGAGGAACACCGGUGGCGAAGGCGGCAUCCUGGACCGGCAUUGACGCUGAGGCGCGAAAGCCAGGGGAGCAAACGGG
rnacentral:rRNA from 1 species